rfam:Erinaceus europaeus unplaced genomic scaffold scaffold00046, whole genome shotgun sequence
GUGCUCACUUCAGCAACACAUACAAUAAAGUUGGAACGAUACAGAGAAGAUAAGCAUGACCCUUGAGAAAGAAUACAUGCAAAUCCAUGAAGCAUUCCAUAUUAAA